rnacentral:rRNA from 1 species
AUGGCGGAUGUAAGUCAUGAGUCAAUGAUGGAGUACUAUCAUAUUGCCAACAAGAUGUUUAAAUGUGAGGAUGAAGGUUAUACAUUCUAUAACAAAUAUGGUCUUGAGAAAGGUUUUAGUGUCCGGAGAAGCUAUGUCGAGUGGGAUGGAUCCAACUGCCAUAUAAUUUUAAGAAAA